UACGGAGGGUGCAAGCGUUAUCCGGAUUCACUGGGUUUAAAGGGUGCGUAGGUGGGUCUGUAAGUCAGUGGUGAAAUCCCCGAGCUUAACUUGGGAACUGCCGUUGAUACUAUAGAUCUUGAAUAUUGUUGAGGUUUGCGGAAUGGGUCAUGUAGCGGUGAAAUGCAUAGAUAUGACCCGGAACACCUAUUGCGAAGGCAGCAGGCUAAACAAAGAUUGACGCUGAGGCUCGAAAGCGUGGGGAUCAAACAGG
rnacentral:rRNA from 1 species